rnacentral:rRNA from 1 species
GACGAACGCUGGCGGCGUGCUUAACACAUGCAAGUCGAACGGAAAGGCCCUGCUUGCAGGGUGCUCGAGUGGCGAACGGGUGAGUAACACGUGGGUGAUCUGCCCCUUACUUUGGGAUAAGCCUGGGAAACUGGGUCUAAUACUGGAUAGGACCAUGCUGUAGGUGGUGUGGUGGAAAGAUUAGUUUCGGUAAGGGAUGAGCUCGCGGCCUAUCAGCUUGUUGGUGGGGUAAUGGCUUACCAAGGCGUCGACGGGUAGCCGGCCUGAGAGGGUGGACGGCCACAUUGGGACUGAGAUACGGCCCAGACUCCUACGGGAGGCAGCAGUGGGGAAUAUUGCACAAUGGGCGCAAGCCUGAUGCAGCGACGCCGCGUGGGGGAUGACGGCCUUCGGGUUGUAAACUCCUUUCAGCCAUGACGAAGCCCUUGUGGUGACGGUAGUGGUAGAAGAAGCACCGGCUAACUACGUG